rnacentral:rRNA from 1 species
ACGCUGAAGGAGGAGCUUGCUUCUCUGGAUGAGUUGCGAACGGGUGAGUAACGCGUAGGUAACCUGCCUGGUAGCGGGGGAUAACUAUUGGAAACGAUAGCUAAUACCGCAUAACAGUAGAUGUUGCAUGACAUUUGCUUAAAAGGUGCAAUUGCAUCACUACCAGAUGGACCUGCGUUGUAUUAGCUAGUUGGUGGGGUAACGGCUCACCAAGGCGACGAUACAUAGCCGACCUGAGAGGGUGAUCGGCCACACUGGGACUGAGACACGGCCCAGACUCCUACGGGAGGCAGCAGUAGGGAAUCUUCGGCAAUGGACGGAAGUCUGACCGAGCAACGCCGCGUGAGUGAAGAAGGUUUUCGGAUCGUAAAGCUCUGUUGUAAGAGAAGAACGAGUGUGAGAGUGGAAAGUUCACACUGUGACGGUAUCUUACCAGAAAGGGACGGCUAACUACGUGCCAGCAGCCGCGGUAAUACGUAGGUCCCGAGCGUUGUCCGGAUUUAUUGGGCGUAAAGCGAGCGCAGGCGGUUAGAUAAGUCUGAAGUUAAAGGCUGUGGCUUAACCAUAGUACGCUUUGGAAACUGUUUAACUUGAGUGCAAGAGGGGAGAGUUGAAUUCCAUGUGUAGCGGUGAAAUGCGUAGAUAUAUGGAGGAACACCGGUGGCGAAAGC